CUUUACUGUAUCUUGGAAUUGGAUUUGGGCAUAUUUUGCGCAGUAUAGGUGGGAGGCUGAGAAAACUUGUUUGUGGAUAAGUUGGAGCCAAUAAUGAGAUACCACUCUGAAUAUGUUAAAGUCCUAACUUUGAAAGCCGUUAUCCGGCCAGAGAACAGUUUCAGGUGGGCAGUUUGACUGGGGCGGUCGCCUCCUAAAAAGUAACGGAGGCGUGCAAAGGUUCCUUCAGGCUGGUCGGAAAUCAGUCGUAGAGUAUAAAGGCAUAAAGGAGCUUGACUGCAAGACCUACAAGUCGAGCAGAGACGAAAGUCGGCCUUAGUGAUCCGACAGUACCGAGUGGAAGGGCUGUCGCUCAACGGAUAAAAGUUA
rnacentral:rRNA from 1 species